GGGCACAAAACACUCCAAAAGCGGCAGGGUUUUCCGUGUCAAAUCGCCAUCUUGGACGGGGCACGUUUUCAGAGGACUGGUGCCGAAUUUACGAAUCUGCUCGGGCCCUAUGUUCUAAAGCUCGUAGGAUUUUCGCUAGCUUCGGAAAAUAAGAUCGGAUGGCGGUAAGGCACAGACGGAAGAACAAGGUUUGAUUUGGUAUCAAACACGGCCAGAAUUUCGCGCGGUUCCUGCGCCUAUUCUUCAAAGGGAUACGGUCUUUCCGCGACUUUUCCCAAAAUGUCUUGAAUGCAGUUAUUUUGAGUCCCGAUUUUAUUUUUACGUCGAAAGAAUUUAUUGAAAAUCAGCAGGGUAGUCCGAUUCUUGAAUCCCUGAAUGUCUUCGCUAUGAUUUUUGUUUUGUAGAUUUCUCCUCUGUUCUCGCGCGAUUAUUUUUGAAACCUCACUCUAAUUUUCAAGUUUAAUUGUAAAUAUGCCAAAGAGGUUUAGUCUCGGAGAGUAAAUGCGAGAGGCUAAAUUAAAGUGACAGAAUGUGAUGGACUCUUCGUGAGAACUGCAGGACCUGGAGGAUGAGUUUUCUUCCCUUUAGCAAAGCAUCGCUGAGAAGAAACUUGAAAGCGAAGCGAGAAAAGCUGAGAAGGCUUAGCAGAAAGAUUAGUGAUAUCCUCAAUAGAAAAUAGAUAGCAGUAAUUAGGUUAUUAUAUUAUCAGGCUAUAUUUAAAUGUAAUCAAUAACCUUACUCUGCAUAGCAGUUAAAAAUAGGUAGGUAGAUUUAGACAGUCGUAUGGAAGGUAACAGUCAGGAAGGAGGCAGUCAGCAGGGGUUUUUAAAUGGAAAUGCAGUGUCUAUGAGGAGGAAGAAUCCGACAUGCUUCACUGAGGGAGGGGUCAUGCUACCUGCUAUAGUGAUGUGCAAGCUUUAAAAUAUCUUAGGGGUAAGAAUUACUGUUGACUACACCCAAAGUGCUGUCACUUAGGGUUACGCUACUAACGUUUACAUGUUUCCAUUAUUUCUCUGUUGUUUUUUAUCUUGCCUUAACAUACAUCCAGAACAUGUUUGAUGUACACACACUUUGUGUACAAGAUAUAAAUGUUGCAUCCAAACAUUUCUUGGUGGCUGAUUGCCAUAGCUCUAAGAGUAAAAAAAUAAAGGUAUGUAAUCCUGUAAAAAAUAGCAUGUUUGAUGUACUCUGAGGUGGAUUGUCUCCUUAAAAAGGUGAGUAAAAAGAUGUAAGAGGCUAAUUUGAUAGAAAAAAAAAAAGAAUCUAUUUGUAAGCAUCCAAUGGUUAAAUGCUUUUUUUAUGAAUGAUAGACUUUGAUAGGUGAUGAAAUAUUUUUUUAAAAUAAAAUGUUUGAUUUUCUAUUAUCUUUAUUGAACUUUUUUUGUAAAUUAUCUUAUGGCAGCCUAAGACAGAGUUGGUAUACUUUCUACUUAUCCCAUUAUCUUUACAAAUGCUAAAUGCAGAUCUCUUAUGUUAUACAAUUACAAAUUACAGCAAAUAAAAAAAAAAUACAUAUUUGUAUGUUAAUUUUGGAAUACAUUUGAUCAAUAUAUUAUUUCAAAUCAUCAGCAACUCUUUUUUUAUGAAUAAGAACAUUGUUAUUGUGAUGCAGUGAGGUCUAUGAUAAACUUGAACACAGUAUUUCAAUGAUGCAAAAUCUGGGUUUAGAAAAGUUGUUUGGAAGUAAAGCUGUUCACUCACAAGAGUGCAUGUUGGCAGAGCAUUUACUGUAUUGUGUUCUUACAUAAAAAGUGUGAUUGAUCUGCUUUCAGCAUAAAAUAAAGUGGCUACCUAAUGCAGGUUCAUAAGAAAUGUAAGGAAACUGGAAUUGUAUAUCCCUUAGUAAAUAUGUAAUGUAUAUACUAGAAUCAGGGAAGAAAUAAACAACAUUCGUCUAUGGUACUAAAAUUAAAAUACUUUAAUAUAUUGGUAAUUAUUCUUUAUUGAGGUUUUCAAAAUCCUAUGCAACAAAAUGUUGCAAAUGUUCACACAUAUUUUUUUUGUAUAUACUGUACAAAGUGAUCUAUACUAUCUGAAAAUAAUAGUUAUGUAAUAUUUGAAUUCUGAGGCAUAAUACUGUAAUGCUGAUAUAUUUAUAUAUAUUUUGAUAUAUCCAUAACUAUUAAUUCUUGCCAAUAUUUAUUCUGUCACACAACAGUUUUUUGACAUUCAUUGCUUAAAGCAAUUAAGGAUUUAGCAAAAAAGUAAAAAUUUAUUUGAAAAAUAUUUAUAUAAUCUUACUUCAAUUUUAGAAGUGCUCGUGCCUUUUAUGGUAAUAGAGACAAUUUAAUAAAUACUUUAUUCAUAAGAUAAUAAAUAAUAUAAGAUUAUCAUAUCAAUUUAUAAAUAUAUAUAUAUAUAUAUAUAUAUAUAUAUAUAUAUAUAUAUUUACAAUAUUUAUUGAAUUGUUACAUAUUUUGUAACCUCUAUUUCUGAAAUAAAUCUUGCAAUUUCAUA